GCAGUAGUAGCUUAAAGGUAAAGCCAAUCACUGUUAAUGAUUUGAUCUCGGGUCGGUACCGAGCUAUUGCU
rnacentral:tRNA from 1 species